UUCUGGCUCAGGAUAAACGCUGGCGGCGUGCCUAAUACAUGCAAGUCGAACGGAGAGAGACAAGCUUGCUGUCGAACUUAGUGGCGAACGGGUGAGUAAUACAUAAGCAACCUGCCCAUAAAGUCCGGGAUAACUUUGGGAAACUGGAAUUAAUACCGGAUAGGUAACGAGAACGCAUGUUCGUGUUAUUAAAGGUGAGAAACGCUAAUGGAUGGGCUUAUGGCGCAUUAGCUAGUUGGUAAGGUAACGGCUUACCAAGGCGAUGAUGCGUAGCCGGCCUGAGAGGGUGAACGGCCACAUUGGGACUGAGACACGGCCCAGACUCCUACGGGAGGCAGCAGUAGGGAAUUUUCGGCAAUGGGCGAAAGCCUGACCGAGCAACGCCGCGUGAGUGCCUAAGGAUUUCGGUCUGUAAAGCUCUGUUGUAAGGGAAGAAUUGAUCAGAGAGGAUCUGAUAGUGACGGUACCUUACCAGAAAGCCACGGCUAACUACGUGCCAGCCGCUGC
rnacentral:rRNA from 1 species